CCUACGGGCGGCUGCAGUGAGGAAUAUUGGUCAAUGGACGAGAGUCUGAACCAGCCAAGUAGCGUGAAGGAUGACUGCCCUAUGGGUUGUAAACUUCUUUUAUAGGGGAAUAAAAUGGGCCACGUGUGGGAGGUUGUAUGUACCAGAUGAAUAAGGAUCGGCUAACUCCGUGCCAGCAGCCGCGGUAAUACGGAGGAUCCGAGCGUUAUCCGGAUUUAUUGGGUUUAAAGGGAGCGUAGGUGGAUUGUUAAGGCAGUUGUGAAAGUUUGCGGCGCAACCGUCAAAUUGCCGUUGAAACUGGCAGUCUUGAGUACAGUAGCGGUGGGCGGCAUUCGUGGUGUAGCGG
rnacentral:rRNA from 1 species